rnacentral:rRNA from 1 species
GAUGAACGCUGGCGGCGUGCCUAAUACAUGCAAGUCGAGCGAACGGACGAGAAGCUUGCUUCUCUGAUGUUAGCGGCGGACGGGUGAGUAACACGUGGAUAACCUACCUAUAAGACUGGGAUAACUUCGGGAAACCGGAGCUAAUACCGGAUGAUAUUUUGAACCGCAUGGUUCAAAAGUGAAAGACGGUCUUGCUGUCACUUAUAGAUGGAUCCGCGCUGCAUUAGCUAGUUGGUAAGGUAACGGCUUACCAAGGCAACGAUGCAUAGCCGACCUGAGAGGGUGAUCGGCCACACUGGAACUGAGACACGGUCCAGACUCCUACGGGAGGCAGCAGUAGGGAAUCUUCCGCAAUGGGCGAAAGCCUGACGGAGCAACGCCGCGUGAGUGAUGAAGGUCUUCGGAUCGUAAAACUCUGUUAUUAGGGAAGAACAUAUGUGUAAGUAACUGUGCACAUCUCGACGGUACCUAAUCAGAAAGCCACGGCUAACUACGUGCCAGCAGCCGCGGUAAUACGUAGGUGGCAAGCGUUAUCCGGAAUUAUUGGGCGUAAAGCGCGCGUAGGCGGUUUUUUAAGUCUGAUGUGAAAGCCCACGGCUCAACCGUGGAGGGUCAUUGGAAACUGGAAAACUUGAGUGCAGAAGAGGAAAGUGGAAUUCCAUGUGUAGCGGUGAAAUGCGCAGAGAUAUGGAGGAACACCAGUGGCGAAGGCGACUUUCUGGUCUGUAACUGACGCUGAUGUGCGAAAGCGUGGGGAUCAAACAGGAUUAGAUACCCUGGUAGUCCACGCCGUAAACGAUGAGUGCUAAGUGUUAGGGGGUUUCCGCCCCUUAGUGCUGCAGCUAACGCAUUAAGCACUCCGCCUGGGGAGUACGACCGCAAGGUUGAAACUCAAAGGAAUUGACGGGGACCCGCACAAGCGGUGGAGCAUGUGGUUUAAUUCGAAGCAACGCGAAGAACCUUACCAAAUCUUGACAUCCUUUGACAACUCUAGAGAUAGAGCCUUCCCCUUCGGGGGACAAAGUGACAGGUGGUGCAUGGUUGUCGUCAGCUCGUGUCGUGAGAUGUUGGGUUAAGUCCCGCAACGAGCGCAACCCUUAAGCUUAGUUGCCAUCAUUAAGUUGGGCACUCUAAGUUGACUGCCGGUGACAAACCGGAGGAAGGUGGGGAUGACGUCAAAUCAUCAUGCCCCUUAUGAUUUGGGCUACACACGUGCUACAAUGGACAAUACAGAGGGCAGCGAAACCGCGAGGUCAAGCAAAUCCCAUAAAGUUGUUCUCAGUUCGGAUUGUAGUCUGCAACUCGACUACAUGAAGCUGGAAUCGCUAGUAAUCGUAGAUCAGCAUGCUACGGUGAAUACGUUCCCGGGUCU